rnacentral:rRNA from 1 species
CGCGCAGGCGGGUUUGUCAGUCAGGGGUGAAAUCCUACAGCUUAACUGUAGAACUGCCUUUGAUACUGCAAGCCUUGAGUUCGGAAGAGAGAGGCGGAAUUCCAGGUGUAGUGGUGAAAUACGUAGAUAUCUGGAAGAACACCAGAGGCGAAGGCGGUCUCUUGGUCCGUAACUGACGCUGAGGCGCGAAAGCGUGGGGAGCAAACAGGAUUAGAUACCCUGGUAGUCC